rnacentral:rRNA from 1 species
AACGAACGCUGGCGGCAUGCCUAACACAUGCAAGUCGAACGAGACCUUCGGGUCUAGUGGCGCACGGGUGCGUAACGCGUGGGAACCUGCCCUUAGGUUCGGAAUAACUUCUCGACAGGGGUGCUAAUACCGGAUAAUGUCUUCGGACCAAAGAUUUAUCGCCUUUGGAUGGGCCCGCGUUGGAUUAGCUAGUUGGUAGGGUAAAAGCCUACCAAGGCGACGAUCCAUAGCUGGUCUGAGAGGAUGAUCAGCCACACUGGGACUGAGAAACGGCCCAGACUCCUACGGGAGGCAGGAGUGGGGAAUAGUUGACGAGGGGCGAAAGCCUGAUCCAGCAAUGCCGCGGGAGUGAUGAAGGCCUUAGGGUUGUAAAGCUCUUUUACCCGGGAUGAUAAUGACAGUACCGGGAGAAUAAGCACCGGCUAACUCCGUG